rnacentral:rRNA from 1 species
AGAGUUUGAUCCUGGCUCAGGAUGAACGCUGGCGACAGGCUUAACACAUGCAAGUCGAGGGGCCUCGGGGGAGAAAGCUUGCUUUCUCCUGCCGGCGACCGGCGCACGGGUGAGUAACACGUCUGCAACCUGGCCGUCGCAGGUGGAUAACCGGAAAAAGUUCCGACUAAUACAACAUAAACCUCCUGACGGACAUCCCUUGGGAGUCAAAGGAUGCGACUCCGGAGGCGGAUGGGCAUGCCGCGCAUUAAGGAACUGGCAGGGUAACGGCCUACCGAGCCGACAAUGCCUAAGGGUUCUGAGAAGAAGGUCCCCCACAUAGAAACUGAUACACCGCCCAGACUCCUACGGCAAGGCAGCAUUCGACGAAUAUUGGGCAAUGGCCGGAAAGCUGAACCCGCCAAGUGGCUUGAGGGAAUAAGGCCCUAUGGGUGGUAAACCUCUUUUGUCAGGGAGCAAAGGGGUUCACGUGUGGAGGAAAGGAGAGUUCCUGCAGAAAAAGCAUGGGCUAACUCGGUGCCAGCAGCCGCGGUAAUACGGAGGAUGCGAGGUUUUUCCGGAUUUUUUGGGUUUAAAGGGUGGGUAGGCGGAGUGUCAAGUCAGCUGGUAAAAUUUUGGGGCUCAACCCCGUCGUGCCUUUGAAACUGACGCCCUUGAGUGAGUGAGAAGUAAACUGGAAUGUCGCUGGUGUAGCGGUGAAAUGCAUAGAUAUCAUGGCAGAACGCCGAAUGGCGAAGGCAGCUGUCCGGUGCUCAACUGACGCUGAGGCUCGAAAGCGCGGGUAUCGAACAGGAUUAGAUACCCUGGUAGUCCGCACAGUAAACGAUGAAUGCUAGAUGUCCGGGGCGAAUGAGUCCUGGGUGUCACAGGGUAAGGCUUAAGCCUUUCACCUGGGGAGUUGCGCGGCAACGGUGAAAAUUAAAAGAAAUGGCGGGGGCCCGCACCAGCGGAGGGACAAGUGGUUUUAUUUGAUGAUACGGGAGGAACCUUACCCGGGUUCAGACGCCUCGGGAAUCCUUUGUGGAAACAGAUGAGUCUUCGGACAUGAGGCGAGGUGCUGCACGGUGUUCUUCUGCUCGUGCCUUGAGGUGUCGGGUUAAGUGCCAUAACGAGCGCAACCCCCACCUACAGUUGCUACCUCGUUAAGCAGAGGACUCUGUCGGGACUGCCGGCGCAAGAUGUGAGGAAGGCGGGGAUGACGUCAAAUCAGCACGCCCCUUACGUCCGGGGCGACACACGUGUUACAAUGGCAGGUACAGCGGGAAGCGACCGAGCGAUAGGCAGCGGAACCCGAAAACCUGUUUCAGUUUGGAUCGGAGUGUGCAACCUGACUCAGUGAAGCUGGAUUUGCUAGUAAUCGCGCAUCAGCCAUGGCGCGGUGAAUACGUUCCCGGGCCUUGCACACAAGGCCCGUCA